rnacentral:rRNA from 1 species
UACGUAGGGGGCAAGCGUUGUCCGGAAUUAUUGGGCGUAAAGCGCGCGCAGGCGGUUUGUUAAGUCUGUUGUGAAAUCCCCGAGCUCAACUUGGGAAUUGCAAUGGAUACUGGCAGGCUGGAGUAUGGUAGAGGAAGGUGGAAUUCCCGGUGUAGCAGUGAAAUGCGUAGAGAUCGGGAGGAACACCAGUGGCGAAGGCGGCCUUCUGGACCAAUACUGACGCUCAUGCACGAAAGCGUGGGGAGCAAACAGG